AGAGUUUGAUCCUGGCUCAGGACGAACGCUGGCGGCGUGCUUAACACAUGCAAGUCGAGCGAGAAAGCCCCUUCGGGGGUGAGUACAGCGGCGAACGGGUGAGUAACACGUGGGUAACCUGCCCCAGAGACUGGGAUAACGUCCCGAAAGGGACGCUAAUACCGGAUAACGCGCGAUCUGCCAAGUAGGUCGCGCCAAAUGGUAGCCUCGGCCUCUGCUCUGGGAUGGGCCCGCGCCGGAUUAGCUUGUUGGUGAGGUAACGGCUCACCAAGGCUACGAUCCGUAGCUGGUCUGAGAGGACGAUCAGCCACACUGGGACUGAGACACGGCCCAGACUCCUACGGGAGGCAGCAGUGGGGAAUCUUGCGCAAUGGGCGAAAGCCUGACGCAGCAACGCCGCGUGAGCGAAGACGGCCUUCGGGUUGUAAAGCUCUGUCAGGAGGGACGAAGCCACUCGGGUGAAUAGCCUAGAGGGUGACGGUACCUCCAGAGGAAGCCCCGGCUAACUACGUGCCAGCAGCCGCGGUAAUACGUAGGGGGCGAGCGUUGUCCGGAAUCAUUGGGCGUAAAGCGCGUGUAGGCGGCCGAUCAAGUCCGAUGUGAAAGCUCGGGGCUCAACCCCGAGUCUGCAUUGGAAACUGAUCGGCUUGAGUCCGGAAGAGGAGACUGGAAUUCCUGGUGUAGCGGUGAAAUGCGCAGAUAUCAGGAAGAACACCGGUGGCGAAGGCGGGUCUCUGGGACGGUACUGACGCUGAGACGCGAAAGCGUGGGGAGCAAACAGGAUUAGAUACCCUGGUAGUCCACGCCGUAAACGAUGGGCACUAGGUGUGGGAGGUGUCGACUCCUUCCGUGCCGUAGCUAACGCAUUAAGUGCCCCGCCUGGGGAGUACGGCCGCAAGGCUAAAACUCAAAGGAAUUGAUGG
rnacentral:rRNA from 1 species